rnacentral:rRNA from 1 species
AGGGUUUGAUCCUGGCUCAGAACGAACGCUGGCGGCGUGGAUUAGGCAUGCAAGUCGAACGAGAAAGGGUCCUUCGGGGCCUGAGUAAAGUGGCGAACGGGUGAGUAGUACCUAGGUAACCUGCCCUGAAGACUGGGAUAACGGCUGGAAACGGCCGCUAAUACCGGAUGUGGCAAUCUGCUGCAUAGUGGAUUGUCAAAGGUAGCCUCUGCAUAUGCUUCCGCUUCAGGAGGGGCCUCGGGCCUAUCAGCUAGUUGGUGGGGUAACGGCCUACCAAGGCAUUGACGGGUAGCCGGUCUGAGAGGAUGGUCGGCCACACUGGGACUGAGACACUGCCCAGACUCCUACGGGAGGCUGCAGUCGAGGAUCUUCCGCAAUGGGCGCAAGCCUGACGGAGCGACGCCGCGUGCGGGAGGAAGGCUUUCGAGUUGUAAACCGCUGUCACCUGUUACGAAUCGCAACGAGUGAAAAGGUCGUUGCGUGACGAAGGCAGGGGAGGAAGCCACGGCUAACUUCGUGCCAGCAGCCGCGGUAAUACGAAGGUGGCGAGCGUUGUUCGGAAUCACUGGGCAUAAAGCGCGCGUAGGCGGCUUGGUAAGUCGGAUGUGAAAGCCCUCAGCUCAACUGAGGAAAUGCGUCCGAUACUGCCGGGCUUGAGGCCUGGAGGGGAGUACGGAAUUCCUGGUGGAGCGGUGAAAUGCGUAGAUAUCAGGAGGAACGCCGGCGGCGAAAGCGGUACUCUGGGCAGGUUCUGACGCUGAGGCGCGAAAGCUAGGGGAGCAAACGGGAUUAGAUACCCCGGUAGUCCUAGCCGUAAACGAUGGGCGCUAGGUAGUGGAGGUCCUAUUCCACCACUGCUGGAGCUAAUGUUUUAAGCGCCCCGCCUGGGGAGUACGGCCGCAAGGCUAAAACUCAAAGGAAUUGACGGGGGCUCACACAAGCGGUGGAGCAUGUUGCUUAAUUCGAAGCAACGCGAAGAACCUUACCCGGGUUUGAAAUGCUGGUGGUAGCGCAGGGAAACCAUGCGUGACCUUCGCAAGAAGGAGCCAGCACAGGUGUUGCAUGGCUGUCGUCAGCUCGUGUCGUGAGAUGUUGGGUUAAGUCCCGUAACGAGCGAAACCCUUGCUGUUAGUUGCUACAGGUUAUGCUGAACACUCUAGUAGGACUGCCGGUGUCAAACCGGAGGAAGGUGGGGACGACGUCAAGUCAUCAUGGCCCCUACGCCCGGGGCUGCAAACGUGCUACAAUGGCGGGUACAGAGGGUCGCGAAGUCGCGAGACCAAGCCAAUCCCAAAAAGCCCGUCCCAGUCCGGAUUGGAGGCUGAAAUUCGCCUCCAUGAAGUUGGAAUCGCUAGUAAUCGCGGAUCAGCCAUGCCGCGGUGAAUAUGUUCCUGAGCCUUGUACACACCGCCCGUCAAGCCACGGGAGCUGGGAGUGCCCGAAGUCGUGAUCCCAACCGCAAGGAGGGUAGCGCCGAAGGCAAGCCUGGUGACUGGGACUAAGUCGUAACAAGGUA